rnacentral:rRNA from 1 species
UACGAAGGGGGCUAGCGUUGCUCGGAAUUACUGGGCGUAAAGGGCGCGUAGGCGGUCAGCACAGGUCAGUUGUGAAAUCUCCGGGCUUAACUCGGAAAGGUCAACUGAUACUGUGCGACUAGAGUGCAGAAGGGGCAACUGGAAUUCUCGGUGUAGCGGUGAAAUGCGUAGAUAUCGAGAGGAACACCUGCGGCGAAGGCGGGUUGCUGGGCUGACACUGACGCUGAUGCGCGAAAGCCAGGGGAGCGAACGGG